AAGUCUGCCAAUUAGUCUGCCUAUCUGGAUGUGUUUCUUCAGAGCUUCCGAAAACUGGGAAGAGUGAUGCCAUAUUGUGAGCCUGAAGGACAGCUAAAGUCUUUCAGGUCCCCAAAAAUGGCUACAAUA